AGCGAACGCUGGCGGCAGGCCUAACACAUGCAAGUCGAACGGAUCCUUCGGGAUUAGUGGCGGACGGGUGAGUAACACGUGGGAACGUGCCCUUUGGUUCGGAACAACUCAGGGAAACUUGAGCUAAUACCGGAUGUGCCCUUCGGGGGAAAGAUUUAUCGCCAUUGGAGCGGCCCGCGUCUGAUUAGCUAGUUGGUGAGGUAACGGCCCACCAAGGCGACGAUCAGUAGCUGGUCUGAGAGGAUGAUCAGCCACACUGGGACUGAGACACGGCCCAGACUCCUACGGGAGGCAGCAGUGGGGAAUCUUGCGCAAUGGGCGAAAGCCUGACGCAGCCAUGCCGCGUGAAUGAUGCAGGUCUUAGGAUUGUAAAAUUCUUUCAGCGGGGACGAUAAUGACGGUACCCGCAGAAGAAGCUCCGGCUAACUUCGUG
rnacentral:rRNA from 1 species